UACAGAGGUCUCAAGCGUUGUUCGGAUUCAUUGGGCGUAAAGGGUGCGUAGGCGGCGCGGUAAGUCGGGUGUGAAAUCUCGGAGCUUAACUCCGAAACUGCAUUCGAUACUGUCGUGCUAGAGUACAGAAGGGGCAACUGGAAUUCUCGGUGUAGCGGUGAAAUGCGUAGAUAUCGAGAGGAACACCUGCGGCGAAGGCGGGUUGCUGGGCUGAUACUGACGCUGAGGCGCGAAAGCCAGGGGAGCGAACGGG
rnacentral:rRNA from 1 species